GCCACCUUAGCUCAGUGGUAGAGCAAUUGUUUUGUAAACAAUAGGUCAUUGGUUCGAAUCCAAUAGGUGGCUCCA
rnacentral:tRNA from 1 species